UGGAUGCACAGGGCUACAUAGCUUCCAUUUUUAAAACCCGGGAAGCAGAAGCGGAGAUCGGGCCACCCUGAAGUUCCGUGCGGAAGGGAACAGAUCGGCUUGAUGGAACACCUUUCGGACCUCAGAGCUGCGAGUGUAUCCGCCACACUGAAAUGGAUGUAAUGUGCCAAUUACCCUGAUGCUGAUUAACCGCGAGGGAAAACGAUGGUCAGGUUUCAGCAACUGUCUUCUCCCCAUCUCUCUGGAUCUCCUGAAGAUAUCCAUGCCAGCCUUGAAUUCCUGAGCUCAAGCAAUCCCCCUGCCUCAGCCUGUGGUGCAUCUAGGACACAGAUCAUUCGAGCUGCUGACUUCAGACCCUGCUUGUGAACAUCCAAGUGGCCAAUGGGAUUUUACCUUGCCUCUUCCAGUGUCUUCAGGAGGUAGGGCUGGCAGGGGUGGCUUGGAGCAGACAUGGUCAUCAGCAAGCUGUCUUCUCUCAAGGGAGCAGUCCACAAUGUAGCAUGUGGGGGCCUCUGUCCUUGUGUAGACCAGUCCAAACCACAUAACAGAAAUAGAGUCUCAGCAUUUUGAGACUUUAUGGCGCACCUGACAUUGUCAUGGUAUCCAAGCAUGAUUGGUCGGCUUUUAUCUUGACUGUCUUUUUUUAAAUAUACCAUUUUCUAGUAAUUAAUUUUUAUUAUAUUUUACAAAACUAUCAAUCCAUAACAGGUUAGACAUUUUUUUUAACAUUUGGCUUUAGGGUCUUUUUGAGAGUGUUGCUAUAUAUAGCCCAGGCUAGCCUCAAACUAGCAAUCCUUCUCCCUCAGGAUCUUGUGUGUAUGAAUCAUAGGUAUACAACACCACAGGUGUCUUAGACAUCUAUUUUAAAUGGGGGAGGAUGUCCCAGAAACUUCAGGAAGUUCUGAGAGCAUGGCUGUUAUGAGAUUCUGUCAUUUGGGACUAAGGUAGCAGUCGCAGUGUUGAAAUCAGAGCUCCUGUGGUGACUAACAUGAGAUUGUCACAAGACGGAGGCCACAGCAUCCUCUUCUGGAAGUUCCACAUCUCACAUCCUCCUGCCUCUCACUGAGGGCACAGCUUCUUCAGCCCUGCAUUGGCUCCUCUUUGAGUGAGGCCCCAUGUUCAGUCCCCAGUGCAGUCCCAAUCCUCUGUCCUGUAUUAUUAUGCAGGGCUCCUGAGUGUGCACUGCAUUGUGCACAUGUGUGCAUGUGCAAGUAGAAGCCAGAGGUUGACACAAAUGACUUCUUCAACCACAUCCCACUUCUUCCUUGAGGCAGGGCCUCUGGCUGAACCCAGAACUUGCAGACUGGUGGAGUCUAAGUAAUCAGCUGGCCUUGGGGAUUCCCCAUCUCUGCUUCCCACAAGCUGAGCUUACAGUCAGGGGCCGUGCCUGCCCAUGAUGUACAUGUGUGCUGGGAAUCUGAACACUGGUUCACCUGCUUGCACUGCAAGCCCCUCACCUACUGAGCCCUUGCUCCAUCCCUUGCCUCACCCAGUAUAUUUGAAGUUAUCCAACUCUAAUGUCUUCAAAACUU